CUUUAAAAAAGAAAGUAAGGGUGUUAGACCAUCUGCGAGCUGGGCCAGCCUGUGACGACCUUCUCUGUGCAAAAGAGGCUCUCAGUUCCUUCCAUCUUCUGUCAUUUUGUCAACAAACCUUCAGUAUGUUGGUCUCAUGUGAAUCCUUUUAAUGGUCUUUUGGGGUUUUUUUUGUUUUUUCUUUUCUCUCAAUUUCAUUCAGUUCAACAUUCUCCAAGCAACUAGAAUACGCCAGACUGGGCUGGUGGCUGGGAGAUCAGGAGUGGUCAAGAUAGCUGUUGUCAAGGCUCUUCCUGUUUCAUGGGCGAAGACACACCAGCAAAACUGCAAUGAGGCCAGGGUCUCUGGAAGCUGCUAGGGCAGGGAAAGGAUCCCGCCCAGCCAGAGAGGGUCUCCCUGAGGACACUUCAGUCCGGGAAGAAAUUCACCUGCUUCCAGGAGGAAGGAGAGAGGGGACUAAGCUUUAGUCAUCACCUCUCUCGGCCAAACACUGUGCUGGAUAAUUUAUAUGUGCUAUUUCUUUCCAUCCUUAUAAAAACCUUCGGAUCAGGAUUAAGCCCAUUUUACAGAUGAACAAAGGAAGGUUCAGGGUGCUGAAAGCCAUGCUAUGGGGUAGAGCAGAGACAAACAAGGCUGCCUGACCCUGGAGCCGAUACUCUCGGCACCCAACAGAAGGGAAACAGCCGACACUUGGAAACUGGCUCAGGAUCUGGGCCUGACGACCUCUUCUGUGUCCUCCUGGUCUCUCCCUCUCUGGCCAACAACAGAACUGCCCCUUUAAGAGACACAAAGCCUCUGAAAGGGGCUGGUUUCCAUCCAUUUUUAAUGGCCCAGCUGCUGUGGUCUCUCUGCCUUCCUGCGGACCAGCCAACCAGGGAGUUUCUCUGCCGCUGAGCACCAGGCUCAGGCCUGUCAAUGUUUAAUUGCAGCCAGACGCUUAUCUCGGUUACCUGAGUCGAGUCGUUUAGAUUACCCAGGCAGGGACCUGGGCAUCGGGGGAGGUGGCAGAUGGCAGAUUCGGGGUCACCCCUCUGCCCUGCAGAGGGAGGAGGAGAGGUUAUUGAAGCGAGUAGGGGGAGGAGGUGGGAGAUCUGGAGGGUGGUGGGGGAGACAGUGCAAUGGCGACUGGGCAGCCUCUGGGCGCGUGCGUGCUUGUGUGUCUCUCUGACCAUGCGCUCCUCUUUUCCACCACCUCCAGCAGCGAGCACUGGGGGUCUGCCCGCUGCAUAAACCUUCAGAGGCUUCCAGGGGGGCCCGAAACACAGGAGCAGGAGUGGAUGAAUGUCUGGAGGGCUUAGACACGGACUUCCUUUGAGCCCACAGUAGGGGCUCCUGGCAUCUGAUUCUCUGCUUAUUUUCAGGGGAAAACACGGCAGUAUUUGUCACUCUUAUGAACUGGUGCAAAGAGGGACUUUGAGUGCUCCAGGGACACUGGCAUGCGACCGAGGUGAGGCUUACCAUACCUUCAGCAGAGCCCUGCCAUGAACCCAGGAGCUGGGGGUUCCUGAGUCCUGGGUCCUGGCUCUGGACAGGCUCUCGCGCCUCCCUCAGGGCCCGUGGAAUGCCUGCAGCACAGAGUCAAGGUCUAUUUGGGGAGUAGAACGUCAUGGUUCAGACACAGCAUCAGAGACCGUUCAGAUGUUAUUUACAGACCUUGUCUAAUGACCCGGCCUCCACGCUGGGAGCGAGGCCAUGGCCUUGCUCCCUUCUCCAAUUUCUCCUGCCCUCUGCUUUCCUCACACCCUGUCACAAUCCCUUUCCCUUCCACCUUGACUCUGCCUGGUGCCGUGUAUGGGAUAUGUUACUCACAGCUGGGAGCCUGGAGACGGUGCUCUCAGGACAGAAGCAGGCCCGGGAGCAGGGCAGAAGGCCCUGUCGGAGAGCAGUUCCUAGUCAUGGAGCUGGUGCGGCAGGGAGCGUGGAGAGGUUCCUCCGAGUGGCAUUGACCUAGCCCUGGCCCCUGUGGGAGACCUCUGUGGGGGAUGGUGGGGAAUAGGGACAGGGAAGGGAGAUUUCCUAAUUAUGUCGUUCCUAAUUCAAACAAGAAGCUAAGUAAUUGAAUGGAUCAAGAAAGGCCAGAGAAUCAGGCAAACAUGCACAAGCCUGGACCCUUGGGUUGGGUUUUCGAAGGCUGAGCUUGUAGAGACUGGGGAACGCUGAAGGACACCCCGGAGACCCUGUGGUAUCAGGAUCGAAGCCACGUCAGAGAUGGAGCUAGGUCUCUCGCUCUGAAAAGCUCGUGGGACCUCACGUGCAGCGGGGGUCCCCAUGCUGACCGAGUCCCUCCUCCCCAUCUCUUCCUUAACCCCCUCAGCAUAACGUGCUGGGGCUCCCACCAACCGCUUCUUCACAGCCUUUGCCCCCAAGAUGGCGCAGGCCCUGACAAGCAUGUGAUAUGUAUAAUAAUAGUCCCUGCCUCCGGCUGUUAUGAGAAUUAAAUGAGAUAAUCCUUACGGAAUGCUUAGAGCAGCACUUAGCAGGCAGUAAACACUCAGUAAAUGUUGGCUGUUAUUACCAGAGGUAGUAGUCAGAGGAAAUAGGCAGGUGACUUUGCUCCAGCAUCAAGGCGUGUGGCGGCGGCCUCCUUUGCUCCACAGUUAUCCCCGUGUGACAGACAGAGCUUGCCAUGAAGGAAAACCCCUCUGUUGAGCCCCCUCUGGGCCCUGGCAUCCACUAAGCCCCAAAAUUCCGUGUGCUUUUCUUCCCUGAAGCCAUGACUCCUGACUUAAUUGAGCAUCUACUGUGCUCUAGGUUCUGGCUGAUGAAGGGGAGUCAGAUGGGUCUGUGCUGUCAGCAGGCUUGGCGGCAAGGUCAGGAGGAGGCCUGGGGGUGCCCACGGACCCAGCAGCUGAGUGCUCGCAUCGCAUGCCUGGGCCCUGGAGCUCCUUAGAGCCAGAGGGAGGACGAGGGAGCCCAGAGCAGCCCAGGGAGGUCUGCCAGCUGGAAGGGGACUUGUAGGAGGGGUAGGAGUGGCCAAGGCAAAGGGAAAGGAGUCCUGGGAAGGGAAAAAGCAUCCAGCUUGUCUCCGGCCCCAUGGCCGUGUGUCCCUGCACUCCAGAAAGUGGUUCACAAUCAAGGGGCAGGUAGAAGAUGACUCACCCUGAGCUCACGGGGGCUAAUUGGGUCUUGCUCUGCCUGAGGUAAGGACAAUCUCAGAAAUCCUGGGAGGAUCGCUAUCUCCCUCCCGGCCUUCCCCCUCGCUCACCAGGACUUCUUAUCAAGGAGGGCUUUGCUAUUUGCUGAAGCGCUUACUAUGUGUUCGGCAUUGUUCUAGGCACUGGAGAUACUGACGGUGACCAAAACAGACCAAAUGUCUGUUCCCAGUGUGGGGGGGGUGGGGAAGGUCAGAUACUAAACAGAAUAAGUGAGUGGGAUAUAGACAUACUGUAUCAGGUCACAUUGUGAGAAGUGCUAAGGAGGAAAAUGAGGCAGGGGAGGGGGUGAGAUGGGAGCUAGGGCGGCUGGGGUGUGAGAAGGUCACGGUCCCUGCCCCAGGAGGUCACCAUCUGAUGGGGUUUGAAUUUCAUGACGAAUUUCCUAGCAGAGCUCUAGAAGGCAGAUGCCCGGCCCUGACCUCUGAGACUCUGAUUUAGCAGGCCUGGGGUUGGGUCCAGACAGGUGAUGCCAGGGGCCCACUCUGAGGGACAUUGCUUCCUUAGGAAACCAAGUCCAAGAAGGAUGGCACUGGUUUUUCCCCUAGGAAGGCCCCGUGGGAACCCCAGGAAAACUGGACAGGGGCAGCGACCACAGUACUAGUCCCUGUGGCUUUGAUCUGGGAGGGCUUUCCAUGCGCCACUCCCUCUUCCUGGGGCCAAGGCCCAAUGCCCAGCCUCUCCAGAGAAAAGGAUGGGUUUGGAGUUCCCAGCCAAACCCUCUACCAGACACAGAUGGGUUGGGCUGGAAGAAGGGGAAAAUCCAGUCUGAGGACAGAAGCACAGUUUGGGGUUCUGCCUCCUGAGUCAGUUCUGACGCCCGGGGGCAGUGAGGAGGGCCCCUGGCCCAGCCCAGAUGCCGCUGUCCCAGUAUUUUACCGCAAUCUCAGUUCUCAUCUGUGCGGUCAGGUCGCCAAGCUCUGGUAACAGAGGGUAAAUGGAACAGUCACAAAACUUCCUGGAAUGAUCUAUGUGUGCCAUCAAGUACUUUUUGAGUACUUACUUUGUGUCAGACUCUGUUCUAGGGGCAGAGGAUACAGCAGUGGGCAAAAUUGGCAGAUCUCGGCUCUCUUAGAGCUUAUGGGGGAGACAAAUACUGAACAAGAUAAUAAAUAAAAUCUAUCUUUCCAGUAAUGAUAAAGGCUGAAAAAGAGAAGGGGGAGAUUGUCAAGAUAUCAAAAGUUCAGAUGGGACGGACCAGCAAGAGCUGCACGGAGAAGGGGACAUGUGUGAGGACUCUUAAGGAAGAAAGUCACGAGGAUUUCUGAGGGAAUAGAAUUCCAGGCUGAGGAAAUGGCAGUUACAAAGGCACUGGGGCAGGGCUGAGUUACAGCGCGGCGGCCAGUGUGGCUGGAGAGAGGAAAGAGGGAAAGGAAGGAGAUGGAAUCAGAGGUCACAUCGACCAAUCAUCAAGAGCCCUAGAGGGCCUACCAAGGACUUGGGCUUUUACUGUCGGCGAAGUAGGAAAGCCAAAGGAGAAUUUUGGAUUUUGGCAGAAGAGUUACCUGACUUGACUUAUAUUUUUAAGCGGUCACCUCGGGCAGCUGUGUUGAAGAUAGGUGAUGUGGGACAAGAGUGGAAGCAAAACCAGGAACCUAAGAGCUGUUUUUGCAACCAUUUGCCCCUUUCCUCUGGCCCCAGAAGCAGGGGAGACUUCCUUCAUCCUGGGCCCAACUGGCUGGAGAGCAAGGAGCAAGGGUGGGGUGUGCGUGCAAGGCCCUGCCUUCAGGGGCUUUCCUCCGGAGUCCAGCUGAGGGAGUCCUUCCUAUCACAGGACUACAGAGUGACUCGACGGAACAACCGAGGUCAGUGGUUCUGGACUCUGGUCCAGCGCCAGCGGGGAAUCCCUCUCCAAGCACAGGAGACGUGCUGCCUGGCCACUGCUCGGAACCCAGAGCAUGGCUGACCGGAGAAAGCCCCUGCUCAGGACAAAGCCCACAACAGGCAUUUCCUCCACGCUCAGAAGGUCAAGUUCUUUGCACUCAGGCACGUCCAUCCACACACAAACACCCAGAGGAAGUCAGACAGUGAGAAAUGGUGACUGGCUUUAAAUAAACACAAUCAGCUAUUUUAGACCUCUGGGACCGGGUGCCUUUUCUGGGCUGCCAGACACACCUUUCCCGGAGCAACACCUGUUGAGACUUUGCCCAGCCCCCAGCCAGGGCCGCGCAGACCAAAACAGAGGCCUGGCGCCCCCUGCGGUAAGUCUGGACACCCACACCAGUUUGGGUGAUGACAGCCACACCAUGAAAACUCGGCUGUUCUGUUUUGUGGGAUACGGAGAUGAGCAAGCAAGGAGAGUUCCCAUCUUCUUCUCUCUUUUCCUUCCAAGGAUCCAGAUUGGAUUUACAUCCCAUUCAUUCUCCGAAAGGCAGGAUUACCUCCCUGUGGUGUGGAAGGAAGAUGAGGCUCAGAGAGUUCAAGGCGACUCUCCCCAUGUAACGCAGCAAGUUGGAGCUUCCCACUUGGGAACCAUCGAGGAGGCAGACGGGCCCAUUGAGUGUCACUAGGCCCACUGGACCUCACAGGGAGAACUCACAGUGUCUUCUCAUCUCCAUCGGCCAAGGCCUCCUCCUUACCAUGUUCUCCCUGGCUGGACAGUGACGACCGCUGCACCACUGACCCCAUUGGGCUACAUGUGACCUGUCUGAACAGCAUAUUCUGUGGUGGCUGUGUGAUGUGGAAACCUUCUUUGGAGGAGAACGAGGAGCCAUUUCUGCAUUCUUGGUCCACUUGAAGCAGAGCAGCCUAGAAAGAAGACUACAUUUCCCAGCCUCCUGUGUGGCUAGGUGCGGUCACGUGACUGAGUUCUGACCAAUGAGAAGUAAAUGGAGUGUCCUGUGGCAGGUUCCAGGAACCUUCCUUAAGGUAUAGCUUGUGUUUAUGUUUUCUGCCCUUUUCUCUUUGUUCCUUCUAAUAUUUUUCUGUUUAGUAGGUGGGUGCCACCUAGAACCAUGAAGAUGAGGGCCACCCACUAGGAACAGCAGGACAGUGAGCUGGAAGACCAGGACAUGGUAUCAGCCCCCGACUCGUACCUCUAGGCAUUUAUGUGGGAGAGGAAUAAACAUCUACCUGUUA